rnacentral:sRNA from 1 species
UAAAUGCUGGUGAAGUCAUCGGGCACAGAUCGGGGAUGCUGAGGUGAAUCUGAGCAAAGUUGGCGAGUACUGGUGGAGUGCCAUCCUGGAGGGAGAAGAACCCAUCGACAUCGACAAGAUCAACAAGGAGCGCUCCAUGGCCACUGUGGAUGAGGAGGAACAGGCAGUCCUGGACAGACUCACUUUUGACUACCACCAGAAACUGCAGGGCAAGCCCCAGAGCCACGAGCUGAAAGUCCAUGAGAUGCUGAAGAAGGGGUGGGAUGCUGAAGGCUCUCCCUUCCGAGGCCAGCGAUUCGACCCGGCCAUGUUCAACAUCUCCCCAGGGGCUGUGCAGUUUUAAUGACCGGAAGUAAAGGAAACCCUCGCCAUCGGGGAGAUGGAGAGUUGUCCUCCUCGCUCCCUGCAUGCCAGGGACUCACCCCUCCUGAUCAGUCCUAGCCAUUUUUUCUUUCAUGAUGAACCAGGCCUUCCCUGCUGACCUUCCACCUUCAGACUAUUCUAGAGAAGGUGCAGGGCCAGCUGCUUGGCAGUGUCUAUGGCCAACACUAAAUGAAGGUGUUUGACAUGCAGGAGGGACAUGGCCCAGCCUACUGGUAGCACAUGUUCUGUCUCCACAGCAACCAGGCACUGCAGGCAGCAUUUCCUUUCUCCCCUGUUCUCUCUGCUUGCUGUUGUUUUGACGCUAUUCUGCUUGCUUGUCUUCUGAUUGGGGAUAAGGAGUGGCUGGGCUCAGACAAAGCUAAGUUGAAUUGUGUGGGGCCAGGCACAUGCAUGAGGGCUAAUGGGGCAUGGCUCUGGGGCUCCUUCUGGGGCUGCUGUGGGGUUCCCUCACUUGUUGACCUGUCUGUCUGUCUGUCUGUCUGUCUGUCUGUCUGUCUCUCUCUCUCUCUCUCUCUCAUAUGUGUUUGUGUGCUGUGUGUGUAUGUUUUCCAUCUUGUUCAUUUCUUUGUGAAAACACUUGGCCUGCCUCAGUUUUAUGGGUAGAGCAGCAGAAACUAGGGUCUGUUUGAGAUGUUGGGAGAAAGUUUGAGGUUCUGGCCUCUGGCCCAGGUGUGGCAAGGAUCCUGUCUGUCCUCUGACUGCAGCUGCCUGCUUUGAUCCUUGUUGAAGUGAACUAAGACUAGCCACCACUACUUGCUUCCCCCCAUUAGACCUCCUCUUUGGGUAUGCUGCAUUGAAGCCUGGGUACCUUCAAGAAGAGAUCACAGCAUAUUGGUAGUUCAUUGGCAGAUCGUGUCAACUACACUCCCUAAGGAGCUUUGACCCUGAAGGAUGCCUCAGGAAGAAAUGUGUAUCCACUAGCUUGAAGGCAACUACAGUUGAGUCCAAGAAAAUGAAGAUUUCCCUGUGCCAAUCACCAGACUGCUUCCUAGAGCUCAGAGCCUGUGUGGCCAGUCCAGCCAAGGGGUAAGAAUCUGAGCAAGGGACCAGGACCCAGGUGUCCCAACCCUUUAAGGACUCUCUCUGUGGCUGUUGGUGCCUUGGCAUCUCCAUUUGCCUGGUUCUCAGUCUUGGUGUGCACAGCACUGGUUUCUGUACUCUGGUAACCAACCAUACAAACUGCAAGAAUUAAGACCCAUUGAAGCCAAACAGCCUGCUCUCUGGAAAUAGCCCUGCACCGAAUUCCAUGUCCACGUGCUUGGAAGGAGCCCUUGGAAGAGCAGAUUGUAGAACUUACUCAACUGUUUAGACAGGAGCUGGCUCGUUGCUAUCAUUUGAGGGAUUUCUGGUUUAUUUCUUAAAAGUCCAUACUGGGAUUUAAUCUGUGGGCCCAGGUAGACCAUGGUGGUAGGCAAGGGGUAGCAUCGGAACCUAAAUACCAACUCCAGCGUCUGAGCUUGUGAUUGGACAUUGGUUACCAGGUUGAUGACAUCUCUCUAAAGAGGUCAUCAUUUGGGAGUAGACUCUGUCACAUUCACAAGAUCCCCAGGACACUUCGCUUUUAGUUCUUGAAGUUUCCAUCAAGGUCCUAGGAUGUGCAUGUCCCUGUCCCAUGCAAGCUCUCCCACCUAGUGAAGGAAGUCUCGUGGUGUGUAUGUAUCUGCAGCCCUCUCUCUCAGCUGGCUGCCUCCCUCUCAGCUCUCAUCCUGUGGGUAGUCUUGCAGAAGGAGUAAUGAUGUGGAAGAGCCCUGCAUCUUUCUAUUUAGGACAAUGCUUCACUCUGUAGCGACUCAUCUUCAUCAUUUUAGCAUGGUUUUAUUUUCCGUGUUAUGUUUUUUUCUUUGUCGAUGCCCCAUUUGAGCAAACAAGGCUGUAUAGAGAAAACAGCCUGAGGGAUAUAGUAUUUGUGUAGAGGCCAUGUGGCAGGAACCUGUGCUCUGUGACUGAUCCCUGUGGCAUGUGCAUGGUGUGGUGGUGGCUACUGUGUCUACAUGUCUGCAUUACAGGGAGACUCAAUCCCAACCAGCCGAGUAGAUAGUUCUAUGCCCUGUUCUUUGCCCUGAGGCCCUACCCUGGUUUCCAAGCCACUGAAGCUGGCACAUUGCCUGUUUUCUCUUUUUAGACACGACAGCCACAGUUUGGCCUUUAAGUCCCACCAGCUGAGGUCUGAGGAAAGCAGGGUGACUCUGUCCCCUUUGUCCAAAGACCCAAAGAGUGGGGUGUCCAGCCUGCAAAGUCGCUCUGGCUCCUCGGUGUUGGUUUGCAAUAAAUCUGUAUUUAAGCAGUUCUGGGUCUGUCUGUGACGUUCACUGUUAGGACACUGCCGUGAGUGGUCAUUACCCUUGACUUCUGGCCAUGAGUCCUGAGUCCCUGUACGUGGUUAACACUAAAACCAAAUUCUCUGGGUUGUUCCUCAUGACCUGUCACUACUUUUAGAAAUUCUAUAAGCUAUUAAUUUUUAUUAUUACUAUAAAGACCCAUUCAGAAUCCUGAACCACCCUGCUGGGGAUUCCUUUUCUUGGGGUUACUAUUGCCUUGAUUAAACUCCAUGACCAAAAGGAACUUGGGGAGGAAAGGGUUUGUAUAUCUGGCUUAUACUUCUAUGCUAUAAUCGGUCAUUGAAGAAAGUCGGGGCAUGAACUCAAGUGGGGCAGGAAUCUAGAGGCAGGGGCUAAUGGGGCCAUGGAGGAAUGCCCACUUCUCCUGGCUUGCUCAGCCUGCCUUCUUACAGAACCCAAGACCAGCAGCCCAGGGAUAACAACACCCACAUGGGCUGGGUAUUCCCCUAGCAGUCACUAGUUAAGAAAAUGCCUAGUUUUAGAUCAGGCUUGUCUAUGGCCAGAUCUUAUAGAAGCACUUUUCCAGUGGAGAUUCCCUCCUCUCAGAUGACUAAGGCUGUGUCAAGUUGACAUAAAACUGGCCUACACCCAUCCCUCCUCAUUGUUUAACAGGCUUCCAAGCCCUUAGAACGCAGGCUUUCAUCAGUAUACAAUGCUGUGUCUCUCAAAAUCCACUUAGAUCUCAGACUUCUCCUUUCUGUGGUCCUCCCUAUUCCAGAGAAUCCAUCACUGACCCUACUUACUCUCGGUAGGCAGGACCUGUGGGUUCGAAAGUUAGCUCCUCAAAUGAAUGAAAAACAUUGGAAUAGCCCAUCUCAUUCUUGGACCCAGAAAUAACUUUAACAUCCCCCCCCC